AAGACCUUGCGCUUUUGGAGCGGCCGAUGCCUGAUUAGCUAGUUAGUGGGGUAAUGGCCUACCAAAGCUUCGAUCAGUAGCUGGUCUGAGAGGACGGCCAGCCACACUGGGACUGAGACACGGCCCAGACUCCUACGGGAGGCAGCAGUGGGGAAUUUUGGACAAUGGGCGCAAGCCUGAUCCAGCCAUGCCGCGUGAGUGAAGAAGGCCUUCGGGUUGUAAAGCUCUUUCAGCCGGGAAGAAAAGGUUGCGAUUAGUAAUCGCAAUUUAUGACGGUACCGGAAGAAGAAGCACCGGCUAACUACGUGCCAGCAGCCGCGGUAAUACGUAGGGUGCGAGCGUUAAUCGGAAUUACUGGGCGUAAAGGGUGCGCAGGCGGUUUUGUAAGUCAGAUGUGAAAUCCCCGGGCUUAACCUGGGAACU
rnacentral:rRNA from 1 species